UAUAAUGUCAAAAUCACUUCCUGGAUUAUUGUUUCUUGUGAUGAUGGGGAAGAUGGGAAUUUUUCAAAUCUUAGGGUAGACCUUUUAAAAAAAGGACAAAGGAGCAUAUCAAUCUGAAAACCAAUGCGUGAUUUUGGUCCAGGGGCUUGAAUUCAUAACGUAAAGGAAAGGUAGCUGACCUGUCAAUCCCAGAUGAUUGAUAAUGGGCAGAGAAUACAGAAGCCUGUAUGAAAUUCAAACAUUAAGGAGCCAAACAGGAGGGUGGAUUUCCCUUUCAGGAGAACCAGAAAGCGGAGGAGGAGGAGGACCAGAAAGCAAGGAAGCAAGGAAGAAACACAAAGGAAAAAAAAAAGAGAGAAUUUAUAAAUCACAAGUAUUAGGUAACAGUUUACCAAAUGUUAGGAAAAAGGCAAAGCAUUCAUUUACUGUAACAUUAAAAAGUCAGUAUGAUGGAUAAUCAA